GAGUUCAAUAAUUUUCAGUUUCAGUUGAUUUCACAUCAGGAAGAGAGAGAUGCAAUUCUAGCGAAGAUUGAAAUUUCACAAGCUCAUUUGGAGCUGUUGAAGCAAACUAAUGUUCUCAAUGAUGCCUUCCCCAUCCAUCAUGAUGGAGAAUUUGGAACAAUAAACAAUUUCCGACUUGGAAGACUUCCUAAAAUUCCGGUCGAAUGGGAUGAGAUAAAUGCUGCCUGGGGCCAAGCUUGCCUUCUCCUCCACACAAUGUGUCAAUAUUUCAAGCCAAAAUUUCUAUAUCGAAUAAAAAUGCUUCCUAUGGGGAGCUACCCUCGAAUUAUGGACACCAACAACAGUGUUUAUGAUCUGUUUGGUCCGGUGAACUUAUUUUGGAGUACUCGCUAUGACAAAGCAAUGACAUUGUUCUUAACAUGCCUCAAGGACUUUGCUGAGUUUGCAUACUUGAGGGAUCAAGAAAACAACAUUCCACCUGAGAAAAGAUUCAAACUUCCAUACAAGAUUGAGAAUGACAAAGUGGAAAACCACUCUAUUACCCAGAGUUUCAAUAAGCACGAGAAUUGGACCAAAGCUCUCAAGUAUACUCUCUGCAAUUUGAAAUGGGCUCUCUAUUGGUUUAUUGGAAAUACAAACUUUCAGCCUCUUAAUACAAUGGCGGCUUCACGUGUUGAAGUUCCAGCCGUAAGUUCUUUUUACACAAAGCGUGCUGCCGAUUCCAAGUCUGAAUCUCGACACAUAUCAAAACAGUGAAACCAUGAUAGAGAAUUGAAAUGCAUGGAAAUAUACCAACUUGUGAAUAGAAAUAGGGUCAGUUAAGUAACCGUAAUCACAUCUUCAUAUGUAAUGUAUAUUUUCUCGCAAGAUUAGAAUGGGAAACAUUUUCUUUUCUGUUUGACCUUUUGUGUAUUGGCCAAAAUGAUAAAAUCUCAUGUAGGCUGUAUUCUGAAUUCGAUUUACUGAAAUAACCUAGUUUGUAGAAUUUAGAUGUAUAAUUAGUCCAUUUACUGCCCUUUUGGUUUUGGAUAGAGC
rnacentral:misc_RNA from 1 species